GGAUGCGAUCAUACCAGCACUAAAGCACCGGAUCCCAUCGGAACUCCGAAGUUAAGCGUGCUUGGGCGAGAGUAGUACUAGGAUGGGUGACCUCCUGGGAAGUCCUCGUGUUGCAUUCC
rnacentral:rRNA from 1 species